AGACGUCUACAUUAGAUACCCGCGUAGUCCCAGCCGUAAACUAUGCGCGUUAGGUGUAUCGGUGACCACGAGUCACCGAGGUGCCGAAGGGAAACCGUGAAACGUGCCGCCUGGGAAGUACGGUCGCAAGGCUGAAACUUAAAGGAAUUGGCGGGGGAGCACCGCAACGGGAGGAGCGUGCGGUUUAAUUGGAUUCAACACCGUAAACUCACCAGGGAAGACUGUUACAUGAAGGCCGAGAUGAAGACUCUGCUAGAUUUUCAG
rnacentral:rRNA from 1 species